rnacentral:tRNA from 1 species
UCCCUUGUGGCUCAGCUGGUAGAGAAUCUGCCUGUAAUGCUGAAGACCUGGGUUCGAUCCCUGGGUUGGGAA